GCGGUUUUGUCAGAAGUAGGAAAGUAAACAGAAGAAGGUGGUGUGAAGUGAACAGCCGCUCUCUUUAGGGAACCGUGAAAGAGAGGAAGUUCAUAAUUGAGUUCCUUGGGGCCAAGCUGCAGAAACACAGCUAAACCUUGGUCAAGACGGGCUUGACUUUACCUCAGCUCAGGACCUGGGAAUCACCUCUUUGGAAUGUAAUCAUUUUAAGAAGACAGCACGCCUAUAUCCCAGUUUCUGCGGGCAGGUAGGAGGAGCCCCACCUUGGCCAACUUGCAAAACUACCUCUGGUCAUAAAGGUAUAAAUGGCGCGCCACUAAAGAGAGCUAGUCGAGCUUGCCUCUGAAAUGGUUGGACAAGGGCUUUUAGUAGAUACAGCCACAUGCUUCAGAAGUUAAGAAAAUCACACACAAACCUCUAAGAACUCUGCUUGGUAUGAGGACUGAGAUGUGUUGAUCUGGACUGGGUGGAAGCAUGGUUCGAGAAUGUGAUUUGAG